rnacentral:rRNA from 1 species
GCAUGCUAGUUGUACGAGUUCAGACUCGUAGCAAAUAGCUCAGUAACACGUGGCCAAACUACCCUAUCGAGCACGAUACUCUCGGGAAACUGAGGUUAAUAGUGCAUACGGCUCGCUGCCUGGAGUGGCGCGAGCUAGAAAUGCUCAGGCGCGAUAGGAUGUGGCUGCGGCCGAUUAGGUAGACGGUGGGGUAACGGCCCACCGUGCCAAUAAUCGGUACGGGUUGUGAGAGCAAGAGCCCGGAGACGGUAUCUGAGACAAGAUACCGGGCCCUACGGGGCGCAGCAGGCGCGAAACCUUUACACUGCACGAGAGUGCGAUAAGGGGACUCCAAGUGCGAGGGCAUAUAGUCCUCGCUUUUUCCGACCGUAGGAUGGUCGGCGAAUAAGUGCUGGGCAAGACCGGUGCCAGCCGCCGCGGUAAUACCGGCAGCACAAGUGAUGACCGCUAUUAUUGGGCCUAAAGCGUCCGUAGCUGGCCACGCAAGUCCAUCGGGAAAUCUACUCGCUCAACGAGUAGGCGUCCGGUGGAAACUGCAUGGCUUGGGACCGGAAGAUCCAGAGGGUACGUCUGGGGUAGGAGUGAAAUCCUGUAAUCCGAGACGGACCACCGGUGGCGAAAGCGCU